rnacentral:rRNA from 1 species
AUUGAACGCUGGCGGCAGGCCUAACACAUGCAGUCGAACGGUAACGGGAAGCAGCUUGCUGCUUCGCUGACGAGUGGCGGACGGGUGAGUAAUGUCUGGGAAACUGCCUGAUGGAGGGGGAUAACUACUGGAAACGGUAGCUAAUACCGCAUAACGUCGCAAGACCAAAGAGGGGGACCUUCGGGCCUCCUGCCAUCGGAUGUGCCCAGAUGGGAUUAGCUAGUAGGUGGGGUAACUGCUCACCUAGGCGACGAUCCCUAGCUGGUCUGAGAGGAUGACCAGCCACACUGGAACUGAGACACGGUCCAGACUCCUACGGGAGGCAGCAGUGGGGAAUAUUGCACAAUGGGCGCAAGCCUGAUGCAGCCAUGCCGCGUGUAUGAAGAAGGCCUUCGGGUUGUAAAGUACUUUCAGCGGGGAGGAAGGCGAUAAGGUUAAUAACCUUGUCGAUUGACGUUACCCGCAGAAGAAGCACCGGCUAACUCCGUGCCAGCCGCCGCGGUAA